rnacentral:rRNA from 1 species
UACGUAGGGUGCGAGCGUUAAUCGGAAUUACUGGGCGUAAAGCGUGCGCAGGCGGUUCGUUAAGUCAGCUGUGAAAGCCCCGGGCUCAACCUGGGAAUGGCGGUUGAAACUGGCGAACUUGAAUCUGGCAGAGGGGGUGGAAUUCCACGUGUAGCAGUGAAAUGCGUAGAGAUGUGGAGGAACACCGAUGGCGAAGGCAGCCCCCUGGGCUGAGAUUGACGCUCAGGCACGAAAGCGUGGGGAGCAAACAGG